UUAAUCCUGGAGUGUUCGUGAUAUCCUAAAUUUUGAACCUACAAAUUGUAAACGGGAGUUUGGCGUUUAAAAGUAGAUAGCAGGCCUCAAUCUAAUUCCGACAUUCAUUAAGAAUGCAACGGCGGAGGAAGUUAAAAACUUUUAGCAGAACACCCACCUAGCUUGGGCUAGGUGUCAAAAUUCAGGUUGACGGCAUUUUGGGUUAAAU
rnacentral:other from 1 species